AAUGGAACGCUGGUGGCAGACCUAACACAGUGGCAAGUCGAACGGUCUAUAUUAAACUUCGGUUUUUAUAGAAUAGUGGCAAACGGGUGAGUAAAGCAUGGGAAUCUACCUAGAAGUUUGGAAUAGCUAUUAGAAAUGAUAGAUAAUACCAAAUACACCUCGAGAGGGAAAGUUGACUUCGGUCUUCGCUUUUAGAUGAGCCCAUGUUAAAUUAGUUAGUUGGUAGGGUAAUGGCCUACCAAGAUGAUGAUUUAUAGCUGGUCUUAGAGGAUGAUCAGCCACACUGGAAUUGAGAUACGGUCCAGACUCCUACGGGGAGCAGCAGGUGGGAAUAUUGGACAAUGGGCGCAAGCCUGAUCCAGUCAUGCCACGUGAGUGAUGAAGGUCUUAGGAUUGUAAAACUCUUUUAGCAAGGGAAAAAAUGAUGGUAACCUGCAGAAAAAGUCUCGGCUAACUUCGUGCCAGCAGCCGCGGUAAU
rnacentral:rRNA from 1 species